AGCUGCACCUCAAAGAUGGCGCGGGCCUGCCAGCCUACGGCCCUUUCAUGGUUAUGGGCGGGUCAACUGGCUUGCUUCCUCUGUGUGAGCCAAUAAGAUUGCGCUACGUGGCUUUACCUGAGUGGCUGACCAGACAGUAUUUAACCUGGGGGUUGGCUCUUCCCAGGGUCAGAAGAACCAUUCAGGCGGGUAGUCAGUCAGUAGGAUGUAAAGAAUUUCCUGAAUAAACCGCUGGAGAAGAGCUCGAGAGUGUGUUGUGUCGUCCUGGCUGGCUCGAGGGUGGUCGUGACAACUGGUGACCUGCGUACGGGGAGCACCAGACAAGGAGAAGGCUCAGAACUCCUGCGGUCAGGGAAGUGCACUGGAAGAUCCCAGGAUCAACAAGAUCCAGUGUGGGUGCCUGAACGCCUUGUAAGGAAGAUUCACCAUGAAGACCUUCCUGAGGAUCCUGGUGAUGGUGGCAAUGAUGACGCCAGGAAUGACUGAACCAAGAUGGGGAAUACUGUCGGUGUUCCCGAAGCCGAUGCCGGAUUGGUUCUGCAAACUUUGAAGACAAGAUGAGAGAGCUGCGAGAGGCGGUCGUCCACAUUAACUCCACUCGAGUGGACCUGAGCCUAGCCGAUGGCUUGACUUCCUGGAUACAGACAGCGAUGGAUCAUCUUAAGGUGUGGGCGGGCAUAGGCUCUAUGGUGAUACUGAUGGUACUAGCCUCUCUGGUUUGCCUGUGGUACAUUUACAAUAUGAA